rnacentral:rRNA from 1 species
GACGAACGCUAGCGGCGUGCCUAAUGUAUGCAAGUCGAGCGGGGUAAGGGACUUCGGUCUCUUUCCGAGCGGCAAACGGUUGAGUAACACGUAGGCAACCCGCCCCAGAGACGGGGAUAGCCCGCCGAAAGGCGGAUUAAUACCGGAUGUGGCGAGGGAGUGCAUACUCCCCCUGCUAAAGGCGGCAACGCGCUCUGGGAUGGGCCUGCGGCCUAUCAGCUAGUUGGUGAGGUGACGGCUCACCAAGGCGACGACGGGUAGCUGGUCUGAGAGGAUGGUCAGCCAGACAGGGACUGAGACACGGCCCUGACUCCUUUGGGGGGCAGCAAUGAGGGAUAUUGCACAAUGGGGGAAACCCUGAUGCAGCGACGCCGCUUGGGUGACGAAGUCCUUCGGGAUGUAAAGCCCUUUUCUCGGGGAAGAGAACGGACGGUACCCGAGGAAGAAGCCCCGGCUAACUACGUGC